UACGUAGGGGGCAAGCGUUGUCCGGAAUCAUUGGGCGUAAAGCGCGUGUAGGCGGUCCGGUAAGUCGGCUGUGAAAGUCCAGGGCUCAACCCUGGGAUGCCGGUCGAUACUGCCGGACUAGAGUUCGGAAGAGGCGAGUGGAAUUCCCGGUGUAGCGGUGAAAUGCGCAGAUAUCGGGAGGAACACCAAUGGCGAAGGCAGCUCGCUGGGACGUUACUGACGCUGAGACGCGAAAGCGUGGGUAGCAAACGGG
rnacentral:rRNA from 1 species